rnacentral:lncRNA from 1 species
GGAAUUCACGUUUUCUAAUACAUCAAAUGUAUAUAUUGAUUUUGUCCACUUAUCCUCACAAAUGAUACUCUAUUUUCACUACCUUCUAGUAAUUGUUUCCGUGCUGUCCUUUUAUGCAGGCUGAGACAGGCUUGGGCAAUCAGACAGCUCUGCAUACAUGGACAUCACAACACGAAACCCACAAUUACAAGCAACCUAUACUUUUUCCUAAAGUUUAUUAAGACUAGAGAACUAGAAAGGAGACCCUGAAGUGUGAACAUCAGUUGGUUAACACAGAUCCUAUUUUGGAAGAAAUAAAGAGGAUCUACUUUACGAAGAUGUAUGUACCCCCAUUAAAGCGUUUACAAGCAGUCAUCACCAGCAGCAGCAGUUAUUGAGAGCUCUCCGUGUGAGUCAAUCUGCAGAGCGUCACUCACCUCCUGCACACUGCAAUGGAACAACCCUUUAAGGUAGUUCCUGCUUUUCUCUCCAAUCGGCAAUGAGGAAACGGAAGCUCAGAGCGGUUCAGUUGCCUGCUCAAGUUGGCGUUGUUAGUCAAGUACAGAUAUGGAAUCAAG